UCUCUUUCUCCCUCUCAAUCAAAUGCAAGACUUGCAAAUUCUUGCAAAUCUCUCUCUCUCAUUAAAUUCUCAUCAUUAAAUGAUUUUGAACAAAAUUUUAUAUAAGAAAUAACAUCAUUAACGUCUUCUAAGUAUCAUAUCACAAAUUCGGGUUCCUUGGUGCAAGAAUUCAUCAUAAUUGGGUCAAUUUCGGGUUUGAGCUUUUAGUGGCAGAUUUUUGGUCGUGAGCAUUGAGGAUCUUUGAACGUUUGUAGCUUGUUGAAUACUUGUAACUCAAUCUCAAAUUGCUCAUAACCGGUAAAGGUGACAGGUUAGCUCAAGGGCGUAUUGGAUGAUUGACUGCUUAUUUAUGCUACACUUGGACUUCUUGGAUCCGUGAUUCAUUUCCUGAUUUGGGGUUAUGCUUAUGUGUGAUCUGGUUACUUGCAUUAUUAAAGGGUUCGUAUGGAUUACUAGAUCCCUUUUAUGCAUUUAGAUUGCUCUACAUAAUUUCCAUGUCGUGUUGUGCUGGUUGUGUAACCCUCAUGAUUCCGCCUUGUUGAGGUGUUACAUUAUGCACCUAAGGAAAAGAGAAUUACGCAGAUUAUAAUAAGAUAUGAAAGAUACCACAA